rnacentral:misc_RNA from 1 species
UUUAAGAACGUGUUUAUUU